GUAGGUGGGCAAGCGUUGUCCGGAAUUAUUGGGGCGUAAAGCGCGCGCAGGCGGUCCUUUAAGUCUGAUGUGAAAGCCCACGGCUCAACCGUGGAGGGUCAUUGGAAACUGGGGGACUUGAGUACAGAAGAGGAAAGCGGAAUUCCAAGUGUAGCGGUGAAAUGCGUAGAGAUUUGGAGGAACACCAGUGGCGAAGGCGGCUUUCUGGUCUGUAACUGACGCUGAGGCGCGAAAGCGUGGGGAGCAAACAGGAUUAGAUACCCUGGUAGUCCACGCCGUAAACGAUGAGUGCUAAGUGUUAGGGGGUUUCCGCCCCUUAGUGCUGCAGCUAACGCAUUAAGCACUCCGCCUGGGGAGUACGGCCGCAAAGGCUG
rnacentral:rRNA from 1 species